AUUGAACGCUGGCGGCAGGCUUAACACAUGCAAGUCGAACGAGUGGCGGACGGGUGAGUAAUGCUUGGGAAUCUGGCUGAUGGAGGGGGAUAACGACGGGAAACUGUCGCUAAUACCGCGUACCAUAGGAUGAGCCCAAGUGGGAUUAGGUAGUUGGUGGGGUAAUGGCCUACCAAGCCGACGAUCGCUAGCCGGUCUGAGAGGAUGAACGGCCAAAAUGGGACUGAGACACGGCCCAGGUGCCUAAGGGAGGCAGCAGUGGGGAAGUUUCCGAAAAUGACGAAAGUCUGACGGAGUAACGCCGCGUGAGUGAUGACGGCCUUCGGGUUGGAAAGCUCGUUAAGCGGGACGACGGUACCGGAAUAGAAAGCCACGGCUAACUACGUGCCAGCCGCCGCGGUAAUAC
rnacentral:rRNA from 1 species